rnacentral:rRNA from 1 species
GAUGAACGCUGGCGGCGUGCCUAAUACAUGCAAGUCGAGCGAACAGAUAAGGAGCUUGCUCCUUUGACGUUAGCGGCGGACGGGUGAGUAACACGUGGGUAACCUACCUAUAAGACUGGAAUAACUCCGGGAAACCGGGGCUAAUGCCGGAUAACAUUUAGAACCGCAUGUUUCUAAAGGGAAAGAUGGUUUUGUUAUACCUAAUGAAUGAACCCGCGCCGUAUUAGCUAGUUGGUAAGGUAACGGCUUACCAAGGCAACGAUACGUAGCCGACCUGAGAGGGUGAUCGGCCACACUGGAACUGAGACACGGUCCAGACUCCUACGGGAGGCAGCAGUAGGGAAUCUUCCGCAAUGGGCGAAAGCCUGACGGAGCAACGCCGCGUGAGUGAUGAAGGUCUUCGGAUCGUAAAACUCUGUUAUUAGGGAAGAACAAAUGUGUAAGUAACUGUGCACGUCUUGACGGUACCUAAUCAGAAAGCCACGGCUAACUACGUG